GAUGAACGCUAGCGGCAGGCCUAAUACAUGCAAGUCGAACGGUGUCUUCGGACAUAGUGGCGCACGGGUGCGUAACACGUAUGCAACCUACCUUACAUUGGGGGAUAGCCUUUCGAAAGGGAGAUUAAUACCGCAUAAGACAGUAGCUGGGCAUCCAGCAGCUGUUAAAGAUUUAUCGAUGUAAGCUGGGCAUGCGUCCAAUUAGCUAGUUGGUGAGGUAACGGCUCACAAAGGCAAUGAUUGGUAGGGGAACUGAGAGGUCAAUCCCCCACCCGGGCACUGAGAUACGGGCCAGGCUCCUACGGGAGGCAGCAGUAGGGAAUAUUGGGCAAUGGACGCAAGUCUGACCCAGCCAUGCCGCGUGCAGGAUGAAGGCGUUAUGCGUUGUAAACUGCUUUUAUACAGGAAGAAACGACUCUUGCGAGAGGCAUUGACGGUACUGUAUGAAUAAGCACCGGCUAACUCCGUGCCAGCCGCCGCCGUAAGAC
rnacentral:rRNA from 1 species